GCCAAUCCCAUAAAACCAUUCUCAGUUCGGAUUGUAGGCUGCAACUCGCCUACAUGAAGCUGGAAUCGCUAGUAAUCGCGGAUCAGCAUGCCGCGGUGAAUACGUUCCCGGGCCUUGUACACACCGCCCGUCCACCACGAGAGUUUGUAACACCCGAAGUCGGUGGAGUAACCGUAAGGAGCUAGCCGCCUAAGUGAUAAG
rnacentral:rRNA from 1 species